AUUGAACGCUGGCGGCAGGCCUAACACAUGCAAGUCGAGCGGAUGAAGGGAGCUUGCUCCUGUAUUCAGCGGCGGACGGGUGAGUAAUGCCUAGGAAUCUGCCUGGUAGUGGGGGAUAACGUCCGGAAACGGGCGCUAAUACCGCAUACGUCCUGAGGGAGAAAGUGGGGGAUCUUCGGACCUCACGCUAUCAGAUGAGCCUAGGUCGGAUUAGCUAGUUGGUGGGGUAAAGGCCUACCAAGGCGACGAUCCGUAACUGGUCUGAGAGGAUGAUCAGUCACACUGGAACUGAGACACGGUCCAGACUCCUACGGGAGGCAGCAGUGGGGAAUAUUGGACAAUGGGCGAAAGCCUGAUCCAGCCAUGCCGCGUGUGUGAAGAAGGUCUUCGGAUUGUAAAGCACUUUAAGUUGGGAGGAAGGGCAGUAAGUUAAUACCUUGCUGUUUUGACGUUACCAACAGAAUAAGCACCGGCUAACUUCGUG
rnacentral:rRNA from 1 species